UCCGGUGGCUUUGGCAUUUAAUGACAUUCAAACAUAUACAGAAACGGAACCAACUUUAAUAGCUCAAACAAGCAAAUAUAUACAGAGGUUUAUUAAGGGAAACAAAUUAUAUAAAUGAAACGAGUGAUGGAAAUUGAUUGUAUCAAUUGUGUUAGGCCUUCAAUUCAGAAUAGGUUGCCUUUAUUAGUUGUUGGUCCUAAGGGAUCUCAAUGUUGACAGGAGACAAAGUAAAGUUGUACAUAAUGAUUUGAAAUGUAAAUUUAGUACUUUCUGAGCACAAGACCCCAGCCUUUGAGCAGGACUUUGAUUUCUAGGAGGAAAAUGGAAAUAGAAAGAACCUGGAUUAACCCAAAAAAAAAGAAAAAGAAAAAUAAUGAUGAGAUAGACAUUAGUGUCUUUCUAUAACUUCCACUGUAAAUUGACAUGGUUCCAUAUGCAGGUUGAACAAGUGGCCCAACGUAGAGUCAACAAGCCCAGGUGGCUCGGGCCUAUUCUGAAACAAACCUUCUUUGAUUCUUGUGCAGCUCAUCCUAUGUACAAGAAUGAACUUAACAAAUACUGUAUGACCUGCAACAAAUCUGCUUGCCAAUAUUGUGUGUCUUUUGGUAUUCAUCGAUGCCACAAAAUGCUUAGCAUUUAUAAACAUGUUUACAAAUAUGUUGUUGCCAUGGCUGCUGUUGAAAAGCAUAUUGACUGUUCACAGAUUCAGUCUUACUUUCCAUAUGAGCGGAAAAACCGGGUCAGUUGGUGACAAUUAGUAAAAGAGAAUCCCAUCAGUCAAUACUCUGAACUGCAUUAUUUUCUGGCAAUAAGUACAACCUAGUUUUUAGCUCUUGAGCGGUGUCAGGCAUACCUACAAAUGCAACAAACGAUUGGUUAUUGCUCUGAAUCCUCUUCCACAUGGCGGUUUGGCAACAGAUACUGGACUAUUAUGUGAGAUCUGUGGUAGGAGGGUGACUCACCCUCAUCUGUAUCGUUACUGCUCCAUUUCAUGCAAGGUUCAAGCUGUUUUAAGGAAGCCCAAUGAAUCACUCCCUCCCUUCAUUACCAUCCAGCGUCCUUCUAAGGGAAAGAAAGAGAAAGCCUCUGAGCCCCAGAAGCCUAUAAACAAAAGAAAGGGAACACCCCGUAGGGCUCCCUUCUUCUAAAAGCCUCAACCCUCAAG